rnacentral:rRNA from 1 species
UACAGAGGUCUCAAGCGUUGUUCGGAUUCAUUGGGCGUAAAGGGUGCGUAGGCGGCGCGGCAAGUCGGGUGUGAAAUCUCGGAGCUUAACUCCGAAACUGCAUUCGAUACUGUCGUGCUUGAGGACUGGAGAGGAGACUGGAAUUUACGGUGUAGCGGUGAAAUGCGUAGAUAUCGUAAGGAAGACCAGUGGCGAAGGCGGGUCUCUGGACAGUUCCUGACGCUGAGGCACGAAGGUCAGGGGAGCAAACGGG